rnacentral:rRNA from 1 species
AAAUUGAAGAGUUUGAUCAUGGCUCAGAUUGAACGCUGGCGGCAGGCCUAACACAUGCAAGUCGAACGGUAACAGGAAGCAGCUUGCUGCUUCGCUGACGAGUGGCGGACGGGUGAGUAAUGUCUGGGAAACUGCCUGAUGGAGGGGGAUAACUACUGGAAACGGUGGCUAAUACCGCAUAACGUCGCAAGACCAAAGAGGGGGACCUUCGGGCCUCUUGCCAUCAGAUGUGCCCAGAUGGGAUUAGCUUGUUGGUGAGGUAACGGCUCACCAAGGCGACGAUCCCUAGCUGGUCUGAGAGGAUGACCAGCCACACUGGAACUGAGACACGGUCCAGACUCCUACGGGAGGCAGCAGUGGGGAAUAUUGCACAAUGGGCGCAAGCCUGAUGCAGCCAUGCCGCGUGUAUGAAGAAGGCCUUCGGGUUGUAAAGUACUUUCAGCGGGGAGGAAGGUGUUGUGGUUAAUAACCACAGCAAUUGACGUUACCCGCAGAAGAAGCACCGGCUAACUCCGUGCCAGCAGCCGCGGUAAUACGGAGGGUGCAAGCGUUAAUCGGAAUUACUGGGCGUAAAGCGCACGCAGGCGGUCUGUCAAGUCGGAUGUGAAAUCCCCGGGCUCAACCUGGGAACUGCAUUCGAAACUGGCAGGCUUGAGUCUUGUAGAGGGGGGUAGAAUUCCAGGUGUAGCGGUGAAAUGCGUAGAGAUCUGGAGGAAUACCGGUGGCGAAGGCGGCCCCCUGGACAAAGACUGACGCUCAGGUGCGAAAGCGUGGGGAGCAAACAGGAUUAGAUACCCUGGUAGUCCACGCCGUAAACGAUGUCUACUUGGAGGUUGUGCCCUUGAGGCGUGGCUUCCGGAGCUAACGCGUUAAGUAGACCGCCUGGGGAGUACGGCCGCAAGGUUAAAACUCAAAUGAAUUGACGGGGGCCCGCACAAGCGGUGGAGCAUGUGGUUUAAUUCGAUGCAACGCGAAGAACCUUACCUGGUCUUGACAUCCACGGAAGUUUUCAGAGAUGAGAAUGUGCCUUCGGGAACCGUGAGACAGGUGCUGCAUGGCUGUCGUCAGCUCGUGUUGUGAAAUGUUGGGUUAAGUCCCGCAACGAGCGCAACCCUUAUCCUUUGUUGCCAGCGAUUAGGUCGGGAACUCAAAGGAGACUGCCAGUGAUAAACUGGAGGAAGGUGGGGAUGACGUCAAGUCAUCAUGGCCCUUACGACCAGGGCUACACACGUGCUACAAUGGCGCAUACAAAGAGAAGCGACCUCGCGAGAGCAAGCGGACCUCAUAAAGUGCGUCGUAGUCCGGAUUGGAGUCUGCAACUCGACUCCAUGAAGUCGGAAUCGCUAGUAAUCGUGGAUCAGAAUGCCACGGUGAAUACGUUCCCGGGCCUUGUACACACCGCCCGUCACACCAUGGGAGUGGGUUGCAAAAGAAGUAGGUAGCUUAACCUUCGGGAGGGCGCUUACCACUUUGUGAUUCAUGACUGGGGUGAAGUCGUAACAAGGUAACCGUAGGGGAACCUGCGGUUGGAUCACCUCCUUACCUUAAAGAAGC